rnacentral:rRNA from 1 species
AGAUUGAACGCUGGCGGCAUGCCUUACACAUGCAAGUCGAACGGCAGCACGGGAGCAAUCCUGGUGGCGAGUGGCGAACGGGUGAGUAAUAUAUCGGAACGUGCCCAGUCGUGGGGGAUAACGCAGCGAAAGCUGUGCUAAUACCGCAUACGAUCUCUGGAUGAAAGCGGGGGACCUGCAAGGGCCUCGCGCGAUUGGAGCGGCCGAUAUCAGAUUAGCUAGUUGGUGGGGUAAAAGCCUACCAAGGCGACGAUCUGUAGCUGGUCUGAGAGGACGACCAGCCACACUGGAACUGAGACACGGUCCAGACUCCUACGGGAGGCAGCGAGUGGGAAGUUUUGGAACAUGGGUCGCGAAGCCUGAUCCAGCAAUGCCGCGUGCAGGAUGAAGUCCGUU